rnacentral:rRNA from 1 species
GUAGGUGGCAAGCGUUGUCCGGAAUUAUUGGGCGUAAAGCGCGCGCAGGCGGUUCUUUAAGUCUGAUGUGAAAGCCCACGGGCUCAACCGUGGAGGGUCAUUGGAAACUGGAGAACUUGAGUACAGAAGAGGAAAGCGGAAUUCCACGUGUAGCGGUGAAAUGCGUAGAGAUGUGGAGGAACACCAGUGGCGAAGGCGGCUUUCUGGUCUGUAACUGACGCUGAGGCGCGAAAGCGUGGGGAGCAAACAGGAUUAGAUACCCUGGUAGUCCACGCCGUAAACGAUGAGUGCUAAGUGUUAGGGGGUUUCCGCCCCUUAGUGCUGCAGCCAACGCAUUAAGCACUCCGCCUGGGGAGUACGACCGCAAGGUUG